ACGCUUGGCGGCAGGCCUAACACAUGCAAGUCGAGCGGUAGAGAGGUGCUUGCACCUCUUGAGAGCGGCGGACGGGUGAGUAAUGCCUAGGAAUCUGCCUGGUAGUGGGGGAUAACGCUCGGAAACGGACGCUAAUACCGCAUACGUCCUACGGGAGAAAGCAGGGGACCUUCGGGCCUUGCGCUAUCAGAUGAGCCUAGGUCGGAUUAGCUAGUUGGUGGGGUAAUGGCUCACCAAGGCGACGAUCCGUAACUGGUCUGAGAGGAUGAUCAGUCACACUGGAACUGAGACACGGUCCAGACUCCUACGGGAGGCAGCAGUGGGGAAUAUUGGACAAUGGGCGAAAGCCUGAUCCAGCCAUGCCGCGUGUGUGAAGAAGGUCUUCGGAUUGUAAAGCACUUUAAGUUGGGAGGAAGGGCAUUAACCUAAUACGUUAGUGUUUUGACGUUACCGACAGAAUAAGCACCGGCUAACUCUGUGCCAGCAGCCGCGGUAAUACAGAGGGUGCAAGCGUUAAUCGGAAUUACUGGGCGUAAAGCGCGCGUAGGUGGUUCGUUAAGUUGGAUGUGAAAGCCCCGGGCUCAACCUGGGAACUGCAUUCAAAACUGUCGAGCUAGAGUAUGGUAGA
rnacentral:rRNA from 1 species